rnacentral:sRNA from 1 species
GCCGGGUGCGGAGGCUCACGCCUGUAGUCCCAGCACUUUGGGAGGCUGAGGCGGGUGGAUCACCUGAGGUCAGGAGUUUGAGACCAGCCUGACCAACAUGGUGAAACCCCGUCUCUA